rnacentral:rRNA from 1 species
AGCUUGCUUUCUCAGCGAGUGGCGAACGGGUGAGUAACCCGUGAGGAACCUGCCUCAAAGAGGGGGACUUCAGUUGGAAACGACUGCUAAUACCGCAUAAGCCCACGACCCGGCAUCGGGUAGAGGAAAAAGGAGCAAUCCGCUUUGAGAUGGCCUCGCGUCCGAUUAGCUAGUUGGUGAGGUAAUGGCCCACCAAGGCGACGAUCGGUAGCCGGACUGAGAGGUUGAACGGCCACAUUGGGACUGAGACACGGCCCAGACUCCUACGGGAGGCAGCAGUGGGGAAUAUUGCACAAUGGGGGAAACCCUGAUGCAGCGACGCCGCGUGGAGGAAGAAGGUCUUCGGAUUGUAAACUCCUGUUGUUGAGGAAGAUAAUGACGGUACUCAACAAGGAAGUGACGGCUAACUACGUGCCAGCAGCCGCGGUAAAACGUAGGUCACAAGCGUUGUCCGGAAUUACUGGGUGUAAAGGGAGCGCAGGCGGGAAGACAAGUUGGAAGUGAAAUCCAUGGGCUCAACCCAUGAACUGCUUUCAAAACUGUUUUUCUUGAGUAGUGCAGAGGUAGGCGGAAUUCCCGGUGUAGCGGUGGAAUGCGUAGAUAUCGGGAGGAACACCAGUGGCGAAGGCGGCCUACUGGGCACCAACUGACGCUGAGGCUCGAAAGUGUGGGUAGCAAACAGGAUUAGAUACCCUGGUAGUCCACACCGUAAACGAUGAUUACUAGGUGUUGGAGGAUUGACCCCUUCAGUGCCGCAGUUAACACAAUAAGUAAUCCACCUGGGGAGUACGACCGCAAGGUUGAAACUCAAAGGAAUUGACGGGGGCCCGCACAAGCAGUGGAGUAUGUGGUUUAAUUCGACGCAACGCGAAGAACCCUUACCAAGUCUUGACAUC